UACGGAGGAUGCGAGCGUUAUCCGGAUUUAUUGGGUUUAAAGGGUGCGUAGGCGGGCUUUUAAGUCAGCGGUAAAAAUUCGGGGCUCAACCCCGUCCGGCCGUUGAAACUGGGGGUCUUGAGUGGGCGAGAAGAAGGCGGAAUGCGUGGUGUAGCGGUGAAAUGCAUAGAUAUCACGCAGAACCCCGAUUGCGAAGGCAGCCUUCCGGCGCCCUACUGAUGCUGAGGCACGAAAGUGCGGGGAUCGAACAGG
rnacentral:rRNA from 1 species